GACGAACGCUAGCGGCGUGCUUAACACAUGCAAGUCGAACGGUAAGGCCCUUCGGGGUACACGAGUGGCGAACGGGUGAGUAACACGUGGGUGAUCUGCCCUGCACUUCGGGAUAAGCCUAGGAAACUGGGUCUAAUACCGGAUAGGACCACUGCCUGCAUGGGUGGUGGUGGAAAGCUUUUGCGGUGUGGGAUGGGCCCGCGGCCUAUCAGCUUGUUGGUGGGGUGAUGGCCUACCAAGGCGACGACGGGUAGCCGGCCUGAGGGGGUGACCGGCCACACUGGGACUGUGAGACGGCCCAGACUCCUACGGGAGGCAGCAGUGGGAAAUAUUGCACAAUGGGCGCAAGCCUGAUGCAGCGACGCCGCGUGAGGGAUGACGGCCUUCGGGUUGUAAACCUCUUUCAGCACCGACGAAGCGCAAGUGACGGUAGGUGCAGAAGAAGGACCGGCCAACUACGUGCCAGCAGCCGCAGUAA
rnacentral:rRNA from 1 species